GGCCGCACUCCGCCGCUGAGAUCGACACGGUGAUCGUCUCACCCCGGCCCCAGCCCUUCACAGGCGCGGGCCUCGAGCAGAGCGAAGUGGUGACAAUGCAAAAGGACUUAAUCCCAUAGGGCUCUGUGCAGAGGUCGAGCCCAGAAGAGGAGACGGAACAGGUGACGGUGACUUUGAUGGUGGAUGUGACUGAGGAGUGAGCGGAGCUGUACCAGCUGCUGUGUCCACGUGGGUCACCGAGGUGUCAUCGCAGGGCACCCGUGGUAACAGGCUGAACCACUGCCUGCUCUUCUCAGUCAAUUUUAUUGUGUAACUGUCCAGAAGAAAUGAAACACCGGAGGGAUUUUGAGAAGUCAGGAAAGACGAUAUAGAAGAAAAAAGAUAAAGAAGUUGAAAUGGUUCUAUUUAAUGCAUUUAAGAACUUGAUGACAAAACACCUGUGUCUGAGGGAGUGGGGGGAAAGGCAAAAAUCCUCACUUGGAAUCCUGGAUCACACACAGCUGCAGAGACAAGUUUCACAAGCAAGUCCUGUACUUCUCCCAUGCUGUCCCCUAUGUUGAGCAAAC